GGCUCAAUGGUCUAGUGGUAUGAUUGUCGCUUCGGGUUACCCCCUCGUGGUUUUGAAAACUGUGAACUGUGACAGGCCUCGGGUUCGAAUCCCGAUUGAGCCC